UGAUCAUGGCUCAGAUUGAACGCUGGCGGCAGGCCUCACACAUGCAAGUCGAGCGGAUGACGGGAGCUUGCUCCUUGAUUCAGCGGCGGACGGGUGAGUAAUGCCUAGGAAUCUGCCUGGUAGUGGGGGACAACGUUUCGAAAGGAACGCUAAUACCGCAUACGUCCUACGGGAGAAAGCAGGGGACCUUCGGGCCUUGCGCUAUCAGAUGAGCCUAGGUCGGAUUAGCUAGUUGGUGGGGUAAUGGCUCACCAAGGCGACGAUCCGUAACUGGUCUGAGAGGAUGAUCAGUCACACUGGAACUGAGACACGGUCCAGACUCCUACGGGAGGCAGCAGUGGGGAAUAUUGGACAAUGGGCGAAAGCCUGAUCCAGCCAUGCCGCGUGUAGUAGAAGAAGGUCUUCGGAUUGUAAAGCACUUUAAGUUGGGAGGAAGGGCAGUAAGUUAAUACCUUGCUGUUUUGACGUUACCGACAGAAUAAGCACCGGCUAACUCUGUGCCAGCAGCCGCGGUAAUACAGAGGGUGCAAGCGUUAAUCGGAAUUUACU
rnacentral:rRNA from 1 species